GCGAAAAGGAAAAGCAAGAAAGGGACCGCAGUGCACUAACGUGACGAGGCGAUGGGUGAAUUCGAAGGUAAGAUUCAAAUUUUGUGUUUAUAAUUGAGUAUCGCGGGAUUCAAACUUUACAUGGUGACAAGGUGGAAUCGGUGGGUGGAACCUGCGUUUUUACUGUGGAAACCUGAGGAUCCUGACUAUGAGAGACCUGUGUACGAUCCUGAAAAGGCUAAGUUUACGGCUCAGGAAGAACUUGACAGGAUGCGCGAACAAGUCAAUCAAAGCGAUGGUUUUGAUAUCGAUUUCGAUUACUACCGCUGCGUUUUCAACUACCAUCGUGCCUAUCUCGAUGAUAUUGAAUUUGGUGAAUUCGGGAACGAGCCGGAAACCACUGGGGAUUUUCUCACCAGACUCGCUCAGAAAUCUCUUGAGGACCACAAUGUAAAGGAGAAGAGAGAAUUCGAGUUUGUCAGGGUUGUUAAAUCCAAUUUCCACUUCUCUGCGGGGCUUAUGUUUCUGAUAACAUUUGAAGUCAUUGAUCCUUAUGAUGGCAAGACCAAACCCUUCCAAGCAAGGGUACGCUACCUCAACGAUACCUUCACUGAGUACAUCUUCUGCAGACCUAAACCCAAUAUUAUUGGAGUGAAAUACUAUGGUAAUGCCAAGACAAAUGUCGCCGCCAAGAAACAAAGAUUGGAGUCGGAGCUUUUAUAUGCUACAAGCAUGUUAAUGGAUGUAGAGGGAUUGCAAGUGGUUGGAGUACCUUCAUCCCAAAUUAUAAACUCAAAGAUGUUAUCUCCAACGUAGAGCGUCUACUCAAUGAUGAGAGGACAGAGCCCAUGGAUCCAUGGUAUGAAGGGUUUGAAGGGACUAUUACGAAAGACGGGGAAAAUCGAUACAAAACUUUUGGUCGACUGGAGUCUUCUGGUAACGCCGAAACCCGUCUCGUGACAGAGCUGCCGAUCGAAGUCUGGACGAAUAAUUAUGUUUCUUCCUUAGAUAAAGGAAAGGAAAAUCGUGGUAAAGUGUCUGCUUUUAUCGAGAACUACCUAGACAGAAGCAACGACACCACUGUGAGUAUUCAGAUUGAAUUGAAGAAAACAGAAAAGAAGAUGACUCCAGAAGAGGAGAAAGAAAUACUUGGACUCACAACAAUGUUAUCCACGGGCAAUAUGUAUUUGUUUGACGAAAAUGACAUGAUCAAGAAAUAUGAA